UCGGCAUCAUGGAUUGCCAUAAAAGAUUUCCCAUCUCUGUCCAGAUUUGAGGUGGCUUAUCCCAUUUUUCUAAGAAACAUUCUGCCUGAGCCAUUGCAUAAAAGAUGGCGGAUCGGGUCAGGCUGGAUCCUGAUUGGGCAGUGUCGGUGUAAAAUAAGGAGAGGCUUUUGAAGGUACUCAUUCCAUGUGGAGUUCAAGGCACCAUGAAUAAACCCAGUGCGUGCGUUGAAAAUUCCCUAAAAAGGGUAAAAUAGCACAGACAAGACGAUCCCUCUCCAUGGAGUGGAGCGAUCACUAAGACUGAAGCUCUGCAUGCAGGUCACACCUCCUGAACACUGAAAGGGAAAAAAAUAGAAACAUAAUUAUAGAGCAGAAUGGGCACGGUGCAAUUACAGAUAAAAAUCAAAUGGAUGAAAGCCUCACAUGACAGUUUUUUUUCAGAAGCUUUGAGACCGAGUUCAAUGGCAGGACGUUUCUAUGAA
rnacentral:lncRNA from 1 species